AAUCUACCUUAGUUACAGGGAUAGCCCGAGGAAACUCGGAUUAAUACCUGAUAUUCUUUAUAUUUCGCAUGAAAUUAAAAGGAAAGGUCAGCCGAACUAAGAUGAGCUCGCGUUCUAUCAGCUAGUUGGUGAGGUAAAAGCUCACCAAGGCUACGACGGAUAGCUGGUCUGAGAGGACGAUCAGCCACACUGGGACUGAGACACGGCCCAGACUCCUACGGGAGGCUGCAGCAGGGAAUAUUGCGCAAUGAGCGAAAGCUUGACGCAGCGACACCGCGUGUGGGAUGACGGAUCUAGGUUUGUAAACCACUUUCAGGAGGGAAGAAAAUGACGGUACCUCCACAAGAAGCCCCGGCCAACUACGUGCCAGCAGCCGCGGUAAUACGUAGGGGGCGAGCGU
rnacentral:rRNA from 1 species